GCCUGCCCAGUGACAAAAUUCAACGGCCGCGGUACCCUAACCGUGCGAAGGUAGCAUAAUCACUUGUUCUCUAAAUAGGGACUAGUAUCAACGGCACCACGAGGGCUGUACUGUCUCCUUUCUCCCAUCAGUGAAACUGAUCUCCCCGUGAAGAAGCGGGGAUUAUUAUAUAAGACGAGAAGACCCCAUGGAGCUUUAAACUCAUCACCCACUUCCUCACUUCUAUGCCCAAUCAUAUAAGGAACCUGCGUGAUAGUUUUGGGUUGGGGGGACCACGGAGUACAAUUCAACCUCCGCGACAAAUGGGCUACGCCCUUAUCUACGAACUACAACUCUAAGAAUCAUAAGCUGAUGUUUAAUGACCCGAUAAUUCGAUCAACGAACCAAGUUACCCUGGGGAUAACAGCGCAAUCUACUUCAAGAGCCCCUAUCGACAAGUAGGUUUACGACCUCGAUGUUGGAUCAGGGUAUCCUGGGGGUGCAGCCGCUCCCGAUGGUUCGUUUGUUCAACGAUUAAAACCCUACGUGAU
rnacentral:rRNA from 1 species